rnacentral:rRNA from 1 species
ACGGGUGAGUAAUGCAUCGGAACGUGCCCAGUAGGGGGGGAUAGCUCGGCGAAAGCCGGAUUAAUACCGCAUACGACCUACGGGUGAAAGCGGGGGACCGCAAGGCCUCGCGCUAUUGGAGCGGCCGAUGUCAGAUUAGCUAGUUGGUGGGGUAAAGGCUCACCAAGGCGACGAUCUGUAGCUGGUCUGAGAGGACGACCAGCCACACUGGGACUGAGACACGGCCCAGACUCCUACGGGAGGCAGCAGUGGGGAAUUUUGGACAAUGGGGGAAACCCUGAUCCAGCCAUGCCGCGUGCGGGAAGAAGGCCUUCGGGUUGUAAACCGCUUUUGUCGGGGAAGAAACGGUCCGCGCUAAUACCGUGGGCUAAUGACGGUACCCGAAGAAUAAGCACCGGCUAACUACGUGCCAGCAGCCGCGGUAAUACGUAGGGUGCAAGUGUUAAUCGGAAUUACUGGGCGUAAAGCGUGCGCAGGCGGCUUUGCAAGACAGAUGUGAAAUCCCCGGGCUUAACCUGGGAACUGCAUUUGUGACUGCAUGGCUGGAGUGCGGCAGAGGGGGAUGGAAUUCCGCGUGUAGCAGUGAA